GUGCUUGCUUCGGCAGCACAUAUGCUACAACUGGAACGAUAUAGAGAAGAUUAGCAUGGCCCCUGCGCAAGGAUGACACACAGGAUGGAUUUUGCUAAGGUUGU
ensembl:snRNA U6 U6 spliceosomal RNA